GAUGAAGAACGUAGCGAAAUGCGAUAAGUAAUGUGAAUUGCAGAAUUCAGUGAAUCAUCGAAUCUUUGAACGCACAUUGCGCCCGCCAGUAUUCUGGCGGGCAUGCCUGUUCGAGCGUCAUUUCAACCAUCAAGCCCCCGGCUUGUGUUGGGGACCUGCGGCUGCCGCAGGCCCUGAAAAGCAGUGGCGGGCUCGCUGUCACACCGAGCGUAGUAGCAUACAUCUCGCUCUGGGCGUGCUGCGGGUUCCGGCAGUUAAACAGCCUUACAAAACCCAAUGUUGACCUCGGAUCAGGUAGGAAGACCCGCUGAACUUAAGCAUAUCAAUAAGCGGAGGA
rnacentral:misc_RNA from 1 species